CAGUAGCCACGGGAAUACGGAGGAUCCGAGCGUUAUCCGGAAUUAUUGGGUUUAAAGGGUGCGUAGGCGGACAGAUAAGUCAGUGGUGAAAGACGGUGGCUCAACCAUCGCAGUGCCGUUGAUACUGUUUGUCUUGAAUAUGGAUGAGGUAGGCGGAAUGUGGCAAGUAGCGGUGAAAUGCAUAGAUAUGCCACAGAACACCGAUUGCGAAGGCAGCUUACCAAGGCAAUAUUGACGCUGAGGCACGAAAGCGUGGGGAUCGAACAGGAUUAGAUACCCCUGUAGUCCCUGUCUCUUAUAC
rnacentral:rRNA from 1 species